rnacentral:rRNA from 1 species
GUGCAAGCAGUCGCGAAACCUUUACACUGCACGAAAGUGCGAUAAGGCUAUACCGAGUGCCACCCGCUGAGGGUGGCUUUUCCUAGGUCUAAACAGCCUAGGGAAUAAGGGGAGGGCAAGCCUGGUGUCAGCCGCCGCGGUAAUACCAGCUCCCCGAGUGGUCAGGACGAUUAUUGGGCCUAAAGCAUCCGUAGCCGGCUUCGUAGGUCUCUUGUUAAAUCCAACGGCCCAACCGUUGGGAUGCAGGGGAUACCGCGGAGCUAGGGGGCGGGAGAGGCGGACGGUACUCCAUAGGUAGGGGUAAAAUCCUUUGAUCUAUGGAAGACCACCAGUGGCGAAGGCGGUCCACUAGAACGCGCCCGACGGUGAGGGAUGAAAGCUGGGGGAGCGAACCGGAUUAGAUACCCGCGUAGUCC